GAGAGAGAGAGAGAGAGAGACUAUGUAUUUCUCUGUUUCUGUGGAGCCUCUUGCUCAACCCAGGGCCAAGUCAUAUCUGCAGAGAGCAAGAAGGCAGCACAGACCUGCAGAGGAGAGGCUGGUUGGGUUGGUGCAGCUUUCCUGGCACUCCAGGUGGGAUGGCAACCUGUGCCGAGGAAGGCUCCUUUCCAUGGCGAAGCUAUCUGUGUGCAAAGCUGCAAACGGGUGAUGACAGAGGCAGGUCACAAAAAGACAGAAUCCCAGGGCUCAGCCCCAAGUCAGGCACAGAAGCCAAGACUUUCAUUGAGAAGCCUGGCCAUGCUGAGUGAGGAGGGCAGCACAGAAGGACUGGGCCUGGCCUUAGGUGGCCUUAGAAGACUUAAUCAAACCAGGGCAGUGGACCCAGAUUCCGGGGCAGUGUGCCAUGGAGAAGGUCAGAAGCGGUCUUUUUAAAAGCAGGGCCAUACUGGAUAGAAGGGGGAAGAGGAAAUGACAUGACUGUGGCUCUGGUGGCGGGGACCUGGCCAGUCUGCAGAGUGACCCAGAGGAUCCUGGUGACAAAGGGAAAUGCUAGUGUGGUGAAGCAGAAUCAAACAAAGGACUAAUACGGACUCUGGGCCUGAAUGCGAGUCCUGAGUGCUCCUGUUCGCCUCUCAGCGAGGGCCCAUCAUGUAACCCUUGCCUCAGUCUCUUCUCCGUGGCAGUGGAACCACCCUGUGGCACCACCCUGAGGGUUGUAGGUGCAGGGAAAGGAAGUUCCUUUCAGAGUGACCUUUGUCACUGCCGGGACUGUGGGACCAGCCAGGGGCACCUUUCCUCUCAUUUGACCUGACCUAGUUCUAGUUAGGAAGUAUUUAGAUUUCUCACAGAGAACGCCACACCACCCUUAUAUUCCUUUUUUUUUUAAUAUUAAAACAAUCCUUUUAAAGUGACAUCUCAUGUCUCAAGUUAUAAACUGAGACACAGAGAGGAGAAGCCUGGAAGCCUGCAUUGGACUGACAGACUCAGGGAUUUUGCGGCCGAAUGAGAUCCCAAGGAUCUGUGAUGGGCAGCUGCUCUGCACUCGAACAGGGUAUCAGACUGAGCAGCCUGGGAUGGGUCUGGGGUCUUAGUUGUUUCCAAUUCUCUGGGGUCUACCAACUUCAGUGGCUCAGGGCCCGCACCCAGGUGCCUUGGCCAGUGCACCCCUUCUUUCUCAUGACACAGGGCCUCCUUCACAAUGAGCCUGGCUGAACUCCUGCUCCAGGCUCAUUCUGGCAACACCCUACUCUUGCCACAGGCCGCCAUGGCUAGGUCUGGGCCGGGGAGCCACCUGCAUGCCAGAUAGCACGGGUCUGAGGGCUUGCAGAUAUGCAAACACUGGGCUCUGGGCCUGCGCUCCUUGUCUCCCUCCCCGUGGUCAGGUGCUGGAUCUCCCGCCACCCUGGGAAAUCUCGGCAGGGUUUGCUUGGCUGCCCUCUUCCUCCAUCCUUCUGUUUCCAGCCCUGAUCUCUUCCUCUCCCAUGAGCCUCCUUGUCUCUGCAUCCCUGGGGCUGUCUUGCUGUCUCCCAGUCUUCUGUCUGAUCUCACUGCACCAAGGUCCCCGGCAGCCUGGCUGCCAAAGCGGAGCUGGGAGGCAGUGACUAGUGUGCUCGGAGGUGAGUCAUCUGUUAAAUAUAAAACCCACUCACAUCCCUGGAUGCAGAAGACUCCAAGACUCCGCGUCCUUCCCCAACUCCAUCCUUCCUCCCUCCAGGGCUGGAGAAGUUCACUCAGCAACACAAAACAAGGCAGGCAGCAUCCCCUGAUCCCUCCCGUUGCUCUGGGAGGAAGGAGUUUAGCGAGGCACAAGAGUCUUGCGAGCCCCACUGUUCCAGAAGUAGUUGGAGGUGAAACCUGUCUUUAGGACUCUUCUUCCUGUUUCUACCCACUUCUCGUUCAGGGAACCCUAAAAAGCCCAUGUUUGUGCAAAGGACACAGCUUUGUAAACACGGGGAGACUAGCAGCACCACACAGGGCUCCAGCUCCAGUGACUGACGAAUGGGCCUCAGGUGCCUGGCUGCUGCUGGACAGGUGCCCUCCCUGGGUGACCAUGGGUUCCUUCUACAUAGCCAGCUACGUAUACCCGUACACCCAUACACACAUCAUAUAAGGAGUGAUCUAAAAAUAUGAUGAAUGCUUAAAUUAAAAAAAUUACAGUAAAAGACAUGCUGCCAUUGUUCCCCCUCAAAAUCCCCCUUCACCCUUAGAACACACUUGCCCCAAUGAUCUCAUUGCUUCCUGAAGCAGUUCUGGAAAUGUGCGAUCAGAAAUAUAGCAAAUAGUUUUGCUCAGUACUGUCAGGCUUGCAAAGCAUAUGGUCCAUCCCCAUCUACUCUGUUCAUCAGUUACGGCACCAGGCAGCUUCUGGUUCUUCUGCAGAGUCUAAAUGGUCACGAAAGGCAAAGGUUUGCAGUUGAUUCAGGACACUGAGGCAGCACAGCUGAAGGCUCUGGUGUGUGUGCCUGUGUACACUCCGGUACACACUGUCCUCUACAUGCUUCAUGCUUGACAUUUACCUGGAGCUGGUUACUUUGGGUCCUGGUUUCUUUGUGUUCACUGCCUUGUGUGUGUCCACUUUUGUUCAUCUUGCGAGAUGGGUCUUUUCAUCCCUCUCAGUACACUGAUGAGAAAAAACAAAAUUCAGAAAGUUGAAAACAGUUGUCCAAAUAUACACUGCGACACUUUGUCAGCACCAAAAUUAGAGCCCAGCCUAUAUCUUUUACCUCGGGCUAAACUAAUAAAUCUCUGACUUUUUGUGGUGGCAAGUGAUAAGAUUUGAUGUCACAGUGAGGGUACAUGUGCAUGUAUAUAUAUGUACAUAUAUGUGUAUGAAUAUACACAUGUGCAUACACAUGGAACAUGUUUUGGGAAAUAGCAUGUACUAUGACUACCUUGCAAGUGUAUAUAUUCUAUUUGACUCUUUCCAUUCCAAUUUUACUUUCAAGCUCACAGUGUUCAACAAGUUUGUGAUCCUCCAUAGGUCAUUAUCUGCAGCGUGAAAAUGCCCGAAUAACUCCCCCAACACUGGACUGAUCACUUCAGCAGGCACUGUGUGCAAAGCUGAGGCCUGAGUUGAAGAGGAAUGAACUUCCUCCGUCUUCACUUCUCUGGGCUUCAUUUCCCUAACAUCUGCUUGUAAUGUAUUCUGUUUUUAAUGAUGAAAUAAACAGAGGCCCAGCAAUCCCUUCCUACAAGCACCAAGAGUCUUUUGCUUACCUGGGAGGUCAUCUGAAGCUCUCUGCCUGUGGAGACUUAAACAUGGGGCUCCCAGCCAUCUCCCAGGUGACACACUUGGGUGCAUGUGUGCUGUAGGGAAAACCUGACCCAGGGCCUCACAAGAACACACUGGACCACUGCAGCCUGGAGUGUAACGAAAGUACCAUGUCCACCUUUGGGGGACUUGAUGGGACAUAACAUAACCAUUGCCUUAUGUCAAAUAUUAAUUGAUUUCUCUCCCCAUCUUUUGAUUUGUCUGCUUCUUUGUAUUUUUCCUUUCUCGAGCUUUUGGAAGGCAGAAGAGAGGCUGUUUUAUGGAAGUUUGGUGGUGCGAGGACAGAAAGAGACAGAGAGGACCUAAUACAUCAGAAAGUGUGUCUGAACCCAACAGGACUAGAUUCUGGUCACUGCUGGGUUAUUGCGAGGCUGUGUGGAUUGAGACCUGGCACCUUCCCUGACUGGACAUAUGCUGGACAAGAGGGACCUGGAUAAAGUCUUCUCACUCAAACACUCUACAGUAUGAGGCAGGGAAGAGGAAGAAGCAGGCCUUGGGUCCUGAUAGAAUGGUCACCCUAAGAAAUCCCCCAACAUGAGAACCCCUCAUUUUGAAGAAGUUGAGUAAUCUUGCCUUUCUUCCUUUGGCUUAUUCACAGUGUGUUUGUCCACUUGCAAUGAGUUCCAGACUUCCAAAAGGGGUCUUGUGCAGGGUGGGGUCAUUUGUGAGUGAUUUGCACACCAGAGCUAAGAUUCACAAAAUUAUCAGGGGUCACAUGAGCAUUUCCUAAUGCCAUAGAUGAGGCUCAAAAGGAGGCACAUGUUGUUUGGGUGCCCAUCACUUGCACAGAUAUAUGGGGUGGUCUGCCCUUGGGGACUGGAUGGGGUGACUGCCAGACCUUCUGUUUGACUUUAGCAUGUUGUGGGGAGGAGGGAUAUGGCUGGUUUGUCUCUCUCAACUGCCAUGUAUCCCAGAGGCACACUUGGAACCUGGUUGUAUCAGUCAGCUUUUCGUUGCUGUAAUGAAUCACCUGAGGCAGGACAAUUUUAUAAGCAAAUGAAGUCUAUUCAGCUCACUUUUGGAGCCUGAUAGUUCAGAUAGGAGGAUACAGGUUCUGGUGAUGGUCUUGUGGUGGAUGGCAGAAGUGUGUGGGGACUGAGGAGCACAUCUCAAAUCAGAGGGCAGACAGAGGCUGCAUGGGGUCAGGCUGAGGCUUUCAUAACAAUCUUUUCCUGACAACUGGCCAGGGUCCUUGAGAAGCACUUUAGUCCUUUGGAAAAUGUGGCCCCCAGUUGACCUAGGGACCUCCCACCAAGUGCCACCUCUUAAGUGUUCCUAGCGCCUCAUAGCCUGUCACCUUAGUGACCACUCCUCACACAGGAACUGGGGGAGAGGGGCAGCAGCAGGCAGAACCCACACUGUAGCACCUGCCCUGCAGAACUGUUCCCAGGUAGGAGAUUGGAGAGGGGAUGCAAGGCCCACACACCUGCCUGAGGAUGGCAUGGUGUGGCCCUGCCCUUCCCCUCACCUCUCUUCAAGGGCUGCUCAGUGGAUUCAGUCUGGGUCCCUCUGCCCAGGAGUCAAGCAUCCUGGUAGUGGUCUAGAGCUGCAGGGCACACAAGACACACUCCACUUACCUGUGUCUAGCCUCUUCCUCCCCUCCUGGAAGCUCCAUCAGAAGUCUCCUGGGGCUUAGUUUUCUAACUGGCUGCUGAGUGAGUGUCCUGAAAGGACCUAUGUGUGUCACCUUGAUUCCCACCCAGGGAGCAGACUGAGGCCUUUGGUGAGCUCAGCCUCUGAGAACAGAGGACAGACAGCCUGCUGUCAUGGAGCCUCAAGCCUCAGCAGCUCUUGGUACUCUCCGAUUUGCAUUCCCUUCCUCGCCUCCCUGCAGCAGGAGCUGCUGCCCCCAGCAGGUCUGAGGAUUCUCUGGCUCCCCUUGCAGUCAAAAUACCUGCACUUCUGGAGGCUCUUGAAAACUCCCUUGUCAAAAAUAAGCAAGCAUGCUAGAAGUCCUCUCUCCCAGCCAGCAUUUACUGAGUACCUACUAUGUGCCAGCGACUUCCCCCAUCCUUAAAAGGCAUUGCCACCUGCAGCUGGGCUCAGCUACAUAAAUGGGGUGGGGGUGGGAUACCUGGGUGGACCUCUCUGGCUGACCCACACUGCAUGACCAAACCCCCAUGCAUCAUUACUUAGGGAGACCACUGCUGUGAGUUCCAUCGUCAUCAGCAGAACACUCUGGGAACUUCACGUGCCCUCAAAGGAGGAGCACAGGCCUCAGGCUUCCCUGUAUUAGCAGCGAAAGGAGCUGUGUUGACCAGAGCCCCAUGCAGAACAGACACAGCAGAUAAAGAAACAAGGUGGCAUCUUCUCAGGAGAAGCUUCUGCAGCUCCAGGGAACAUGGGUCUGUCCUGGUCUGGCUCAAGUUGGGCUCUGGGGAGGAGCAGUGGGCACAGGCACAGGGGGCUCUGGGAUCUCUCAUGGGUACACAAAUAGGUCCUAGCUCCAGAGACAGCAGCAGAUAAGUAAAGAUUCAACGGCCUGCAAUACCCUGUUGUCUUCUCCCGCAAUGGGAAGGGGAGACUUUGCCUUGGCCAGCCUCAUCCUACCACUGAGGUCCUAGCUCCAAAGAGGAAGGAAAGUGUCCAGCUGGGACCCUCCUGUCACAAUUGUCUACACUGGCUUUCUGCUCUUGCCACCAUGGGUUGAGCCACUGUCAUUCGCAGAUGUCCUCUGUCCCCACUGACUAUUGUGCCCAGCGUGGCACUAUGUGCAGGUCAGUCUGUUCCACUGGCUUGACUCAAAAAUGAGUCAGGGGCUGGGAGGACAGAGGAAAGCAAAGAACCUACGACUUGCUCCCUCGAAACCAGUGUCAGCCCCUCUCAAAUCUGCACAAGGAGAAGCAGAAGGCUCCAUUCCUGCUUAGACCUGCAGUUUUGCCUUCUUCCUUUCCCUUCUCUGGUCUUUGCCCUCAAGGGCCAGGGGAAGCAGGCUAAUUUGCAUGUCCAAGAGCUGACAAGAGAGGGGAGGUCACUACCAUCCAUCCACAGAGGAGGAGCCAGAGGAAAGAGAAGCCACAGGGACACAAAAAUUCCAGAGCCUGUGAGGUCCUCUAGGAAUUGGGAUGGUGGAUAACAAGUGUAGCUGAGACCUCUUGGCCUCUGGUCAUGAUGGCCCAACCUGGUCUACCCUCCAUCCGGGGCCUGGGUGGGACCCUUCUCCUGCCCACCUGCCCUUGGUUCCUCACCCCUUAAUGGGACUAAGCCUCACGAGUUGACUGGGAUGAGGAAUGUUGGGGCAUCAGUCGAGUUCUUUGCAUGUGUGUUUGCCCUCUAGAAUUCUAUUACCUUCUCCCCACCAGAAGUUUCUCAUUUCUAAAACCUCAGCUUCUUUAUGAAUGCAUACUAAAAACUGUGAAGCCAAUCUCUCCUGUGUUGGAAGUACAGUUUGGUCACCGAUCAGUGGUGUGACCAUCGGAAAACUAAUUAAUCACUCUGACCCUGGGUCUACUGGUGUGAAAUGUGGAAUAAUAACACUCUUGUCCUCCAUCAAGGUGGCUGGAGAGUCAGCUAGGGGAGACAAGGACUCACAUAGCCAGGACAAGCUGGCCAGCUUAUGGCCACCCUUCUCUUCUGUUUCCCCUCCCCAGCAUAUUUCUAACAAUGGAGAUGUCCUCUACUUUGAGGAGUGACGCUGCCCAGGGUCCCAGCAAGGAGAGGGGCAUGGACCAUUACUGAAGGGACUGCAGACUCCAGAAUUAUCUCUUGCACACAGAGUUGAAGACACAGGACUCUUACCUUGCCCCUUUUCUCCAUUCAGCAUCUCUGUGUGACCUCUGAACUGGAUCUGCACAGAGCCCUGUAGUAUUUGGUUCAGGCCUGUGCCCAAGGUGACUUUGGAGCCUGGGGGCAGAUAGGCCUGGUGCUGAGUGCAUGAGCUGUGCCUGCCCUCUAGUGGCAAGAAAGGGAAAAGCAUACGCUUGCAGGCCUGCGAUGAGCAGAUCUGCAAGCCUGAGAAAUGGUGGGUGUCCUGGCCUUUGGAGCCAAGCUGCACCACACAGCACAGAUCCAAGUUUGAUCACCAAAUACUUAAACACAAGGCCUUAGAUUUGGAGUUUCACUCUCUCUUCAUUUGUUCAUUCAAAGAAAUAUUUAUCGAGUGCGUGCCACAGCAUGAUCCAGACAGCAAGUGAAGACUGGUAUCCGUAUGGUGAUGAUUGUAACUCUCCAGAACUCUGUUCCUGCACUGCAGCGUGAAUCCUAACAAUCAUGCAUGCACAGAAAUACCUUCCCAAGAGCUAAGAAGCUAGGUGAGAAGUGACAGGACUUGGACAGGGAAAGAUGCAUUGAGGGGGUGGAGGGAUGUGUCAUCCCUCCCUUCCGCCUUGCUGUGCAUCACAGACACCCAGGGGUAGGUAGCAAAUCGACCUCUGAAUCUCACUGCACUCUGGAACCAGGCCUGACCUGGUGGGAUGGACAGAUUUCGACAAGUAAGAUCCAACGGUUGGCUGCACGCAGGAGACUCCCGUGGGUCUUAUGACAUUCAUGGGCUGGAAGGACAGGGAAAUAGAAAGGUAUUCAAGCUGACAGCAACCAAAACAGAAUAGGCAUCCUCUUAGUUAUGUUGGAGAAAAUAAACUUUAAGACAAAAACUGUAACAAGAGAUAAAAGGUUGUCAUGUAAUGAAAUGUAAUGAUAAAGGGAUUCAUUUUUCAAGAAGAAAAAUCAACAUUACAUGACCAACAUGGAACAUCUAAAUAUAUAAGAAUAUAUUAGUAAGAUCUGAAGUGAGAUAUAAAUAGCAACAGAAUAACAGGAGGAGACUUUAGUUCCCCACAUUCGGGAAUGGACAGAGCAUCCAGGCAGAAAAUCAGGAAGCAAAGAGCAGGCUGAGCACUGUAGAUCAAAUGAUCCGACAUGGACAGAAUUAAUAUUGUUAAAAAUGCCCAUAUUACCCAAAGUAAUCUACAGUUCCAAAAUAAUCCCUAUGGAAAUUCCAAUGACCAAAAAACCCCUAAAAAUUCUAUGGAAUCUCAAAGGGCCUCAAAUAUUUAAAAUAAGCAUAAACAAGAAGAAUAAAGUAGGGGGCACCACGUACCUGAUUUUAAAAUAUUCUGUAAAGCUGUAGUAAUUAAAAGUAUGGCACUGGCCUAAAAGCAGGCAUAGAGAGCAAUGAGAAAGAAUAGAACGUUCAGAAAUAAAUCCUCACAUUUAGGUUAAAAAUGCACUAAGGACACUCAAUGGGAAAUAACUUGAUUUUUUAAUAAAUUUGUAUUAAAAAAACUAAAUUCUCAUAAGCAGAAAAAUGAAGCUGGAACUUAAUCCUCUACCACGUACAAAAUUACACUCAAAAUGGAUUAAAGACUUAAGUGCAUGCGUACCAGAAAUUGUAAAAUUACUAGAAGAAAAUAGGAAGGGAGACCUUCUUGACUUUGAUCUGAGCAAUUAAUUUUUUGUAUGACUCCAAAAGCACGAGCAAAAAAAGCAAAAACAGAAAAAUGGGAUUGUAUAGAGCUCACAAAGAUUCUUCCCAGCAAAGAAGCAAUGCGCAGAGUGAAAGACACAGCCUACAAAAUAAGAAAAUAUAUUUCUAAACACACAUCUGGUAGGGGUUGGUAUCUCAAAUAUAGAGGGAAAGCAAAUAGUUCAGUGGUAAGGAAACGCAUAACCUGGUUAUAAAAUGAGUAAAGGACCCAAAUAGAUGUUUCUCAAAAGAAAACAAACAAAUGGCUAAGAGAUGCACAAAAAUGCUUAACAUCCCUAAUUAUCAGAGAAAUGCUAAUGAAAACACAAGCAGUUCUCACCUAACAUCUGCUAAAUGGUUAUCCAAAAGACAGAAGAUAACAAGUGUUGGAUAGACAUGAGAGAAGGGCGCUCUUAUGCACUGCUGGAAUGAUAUAACCCUCGUGCUGAAGAGUAUGGAGGUUCCUCAGUAUUCAAAAAUAAACCGGGCCUGGUGGCACAUGCCUGUAUUCUCAGCACUUGGGAGGCUGAGGCAGGGGCAUUAUAAGUUCAAGGCCAGUCUAAACUACAUAUGAAGACCCUGCCUCUGAACAGACAGACAACAAACAGACAAAUAAAUCAAAUCAUAGAUCUAACAAUCCCACUUUUGGGUAUACAUCCAAAAGAAAUGACAUCAGUACUCUUGAUGAGCUAUGUGUACUCAUCGGGUCAUUGCAGUAUUUUCCACAAAAACCAAAGAUUCAGACUCAACCCCAGUGUCCAUCAACAGAGGAAAGGAUAAAGCAAAUGUGAUACAUGCAUGUGUUUGUGUGUACACAUCAGAAUAGUUUUCAGCCUUAAGGAGAGAGGAAAUAUCAAUACAUGCUACAGAACAGAUGAGAUGUGAGAACAUCAUGCUAAGUGGAGCAAACCAGUCAGGAAUGUCAUAUGGUUGGUUCCACCGCUGUGAAGUACCUAGGGUAGUCACAGACAUAGGAUAGCAGCUGGAAUGGUGGGAGAUUGGGUGGGCAACGGGGAAAAACAGGGAAUGAUAUUUUAAUGGGUACAGAGUUUUAGGCAGGAUGCAAAAGUUAUUGUGACCUAAUAUACUUCAUGGUCACUAUAGUCAGCAAUACGGUGUUGUAUACUUGGAAUUUACUGUGACAGUAGAUCCUAAAUAUUCUUACUGUACACAAAGUAAUUAGGUGAGUGAUACAGAUGUUGAUUAGCUUAAUUGCAGUAGUCAUUUCAUAAUUUACACGUGUAUCAAGACAUUACAUUGUGUAAUAUAUGCAACUUUAUUUGUAAAUUCUACCUUAAAGAGCUGGAAAAUAUUGCAAAGCCUCCCCUUCGCCCCUCAGAUGCUCAUACAGGCAAGUCCAUUGGAGCAUGAGGUUUCCUUAGAGGGAGUGUGGGUUUUUGGGAAAAAGAAUGAGGUGUUUUCAGCACUCCCCUCCCCGGGACAGUCAAGGAAUCAGCGCAACUAAAUGAGGACUUAGUUAAUGAUCUUCCAGAGCUUUUGUGUUUUGAAAUGACCCCACAAUAGAAAAAUGGGAAAGAAGGAGCUGGGUAGUUAGACUGGGUUGAACCCCUGGUCCCCUCUCUUUGGAGCCUCUUGGCCUUGGGCAGCUUAGUGAAACAGCCAAGUUCCGGCAGUGCUGCUGGUGCAAGUGAUGUCUCCUGCUGUCUGCCUGUCAUGUGGUGGCGACAUCUUCCUGGCUACAACUGCAGAAGCUGAAGUCCUUUUCAACUGGAAGGAUCAAAGACUCUUCCACUUGAUCAUUAAAAGGAGAAAAAGCCGUAAAGAUUAAUUCGAUGCAAUUAGUUCAGCUUUAACUAUGUCUCAGUGUUUCAUUUAUCUGUAGCCAUGUAUCAAAACAUUCCCCAAACUUAGUGACAUAAAUCAACAGUGUCUUAUUAUUUCUCCUGAUUUUGGGGGUUGCCUGGACUGGACUGGACUGGGCAUUUCUGCUUCACAUGAUUUCUACUGGGGCUGGAGCGCUCCACACAGCUUUUUCAUUUAUGUGUCUGCCAGGAUGGCUGGGCCAGCUAGGAGCUAACCAAGCUCUCUCUCUCUCUCUAGAUAGUGUCUGCAGAGGGUAACUGAACCUUUAGAGGCACAGGGUUCCAGAGUUCCCAGGGUCUGCAAGAGGCUAAGGUGCUUUGCAGGAUUCUGAUUGCAUAGUGCUUGCGAAUGUCACGUUCGCUGAAGGAACUCCAUGCCCAAACCCAGAGUCAGUGGUGAGGAAACCACGCAAGAGCAUGGAUACUGGGAAACAUGUCCACUGGGCACCACCCACGUAACACACUCUGACAGACAGCUCAGGUAUUGAUGAGCGCGAAGCCAUGGUAAGGUGGCAUGGCAAUGUUGACAAUAGAUCUGAGAGUUAGGAUGCAGGUUUUGGUGCUGUACUACUCAGAAAUUGGAGUCUGUGAGCAGAAACAGAAUAACUGGUAUUUAGGAACAUGCAACCCUAGUGGAACUAAGUAGUGCCACAGUGCAUUGCUGCCAAGGGUCCCUGAUCUUUUCUCAACACAGCCCUGGCAUUAGCCAUAGGAAGAAGGUGAAGAUGUAAACCUUUCUGGAAAGAACACCGACAUCAUUCUCGCCUGCAUCCCUGCCUUGGGCCCUUCAUGAGAUUGCAUUUUCUGGCUUGGUCCCAGCCAAACAGACUCAGGUCCAGCAGCCUGGGUCAUGCACCCCCUGCCUCUGCACCCGCUGUCCCAUGCCCUGAUGCGGGUCUGUAGAUUUGCACACCAAAGCAGCUGGAAACUGGACCAGAAAGGAACUUGAUGAAGGUAGUCUACCUGCCCCUCAGUUUCCUAGCAAAUUGCAGCAUUUGGCCUGGUGCUAAUUCCAUAAAGAAUGCACUGGAGCAAUUCGGUGGUAAUACGUGUUUUUUUUUUUUUUUUUACCAUUCACAAUGGCUCAAAGAAGCCACCCUCAUGGUUGGUAGUGUGGAAGCAGGACAGUACUGUGAUAAUUAACAGGAUGAACAUAGUGGAACCGUAGGAUCUUGGACCAAGUCACCCAUCCUAGAACCUUUGAUUUACAUGCAGAGACACUGAGACCCAGAAAAUAACCUUCCCAGGAUUACUGAGUAAGCAAGAACAGAGCUGGCACCGGAGACCAGUGCCCUGUUGUCCUGGACCCUUCUCCUUUCAUACCAGCCAGUGCCAUGGACCACAAGUCCACAGACAACCCCCUGAGGCUGAAACUCCUUGUCCCCAAUUAGACUUGAGAACUACACAGAGAGAAUAAAGUGAGUUUCUUGAUGUCUUUGCUUCUCAAUUCAGUGAAAUAAAUAAUGAAAUAAAAAGAACAAAUUAAAUGAGGAGAUUUUAACAGUCAGAACAGGUUAUGAAAAGUCAGAGAUGGAGAAAGGAAGUAAUAUUCCCCAAGAAUUCUACCGAUGAGUGUUUCUCCUUUCUAUUUAGAUGGAGAAACAGAAUCAAAGAGGCUCACAUUCAACAUGCCUUGGGAAUAAGAGUAGUGACGAUUUCAAAAUACUCAAAUAGCAAUCAUGAAUUAUUGUAAAAUUUAUAAAACUGGGCAUGGAAACCAAUGCUUCAAACAAUCUUAAUUCCAGACAAGUGAUUUGUGAGGUAGAAUGAUUGGACUUGAUGAUAAAGGGAUGAAUGAGAUAUAAAGAAAUAUUUCAUGUUUAAAGAAUAUUUUUUGGGGGGUACCAAGGAUUGAACUCACCACCUUGCUCUUGCCAGACAGGUGCUUAUGCUGCUGAGCUAAAUCCUCAGCCACUCACUGGUCAUCUUGGUAGUCCAGCUCUUUGAGGAAAACCUGCUGCUCCACAUUGGUGCGUGCUGAAACCCCUGAGCCUUCCUUUGUGAUUAGAACAGGCUUGGGUGAGAAGAGCCUUUCAGCAAGCAGCUCACCUGAUUGGUGACUCAGUCAACAAAAGGAAAGGUGGAAGGAUGUGUGUAUUCUCUGCGGUCCUAACUUGCAUCAAGUGCUGGUUUUAUAACAAGUUGGCCCAGAGAACGUUCUGGAAGGUUCCUGGCUUUGGACUUUGGUGUCAGGCCCGUUCCCAGGGCUGCAUAGCCAAGACUGUUGACAAUGAAGAGAGAGUUUCCCUGGAGCUGCAGUUCUAGGUCUUGGCAGUUCCCACCCUACCCUCUGCCUUGAGUUCAGGGAAGAUGGUGUUAAUCCAUGCAAUUGAAAUUCACCUUUUAUAGUGUGUGACUUGUUGGCUUUGGUAUCUUCACUGUGAUGUGAUCUUUGUCACUUUAAUUCUAGGAUUUUCUAUCACUUCACGCCCAUAAGCAGUCAAUCUCAGGUUCCUCCCUCCUGCCCUUCAGGCCUAAAAACUACUGGUCUCCUCUUUAGCUCUCUAUAUCUGCUUUACUUGAGCAUUUUGUAUAGUAGAAUCUUACCAUGUUGUGGCCUUUUGACUGUUUGGUUUCUUUCAUUUACCGUAAUGUUUUCAAUGUUCGUUCAUGCUUUAGCAAGCAUCAGUACUUCGUUCUUUUUUAUGGCCAAGUGAUAUUCCUCACUAUGUUUUGUUUAUUCUGUUGUCUGCCCAUGUAUUCAGAGAGCAUUUUGACACCAGUCUGAGCUGAAUUUGGAAUAUAGACAAUAAAUAAUUUCCUCCACUCCCCAAUGGAGAGCUUAAUGUGACAAACAUUGUGUUUUUAGGAAGUUUACUAUAGUAGGCCUUGGGAGAUCUUAUCUGCAAUGAGGCAGAGAAGGAUGGUGGGAUUUGGAGAAUUGUUCUAUCAAAUAGAAGAGAAAUGUCAGGGCUACCCAAGGAAUCAUGGUGCCCUGAGCACAGCUGGCCCAUCUGAAUCUCUUUACAACUCUCCUCUCCCUGGCCCUGGCCAAGCAGGUGAGUCCCCCUGGGCCUAGAAAGCCAGGAGUGGUUUCACCUUUCAGCUUUGUUGAAGAUCACCUGACCACUCUUUCCAGGAAUGUGUGUGUGCUGCUGAUAAUCGCCUCUUGCACAUCAUCUGCCAACCUCUGUAGAUAAUGAACCAAAUGAGUUAGUUAUCCUGCCUAGCGAUGGCCUGCAUAGUGCAGAUCCCCACUGCUACAUCCCCAGGCUGGCCCCUGUGAGCAGAGGUCCCAGUUGGCUGUCUGGGCCCAGCCGGACUGGGAAGGGAGGCUGCUGGGUCACAGGAUACAGCAGCCCCUCAGAGCUUCAAGGGCUGGGAACGCUGAGGGCAAAGCUACAAAUGAGGCCAGGGAUGAGCUUUCCCAUUGGCAGUUUGGCCCACAGAGACUGAGGCUGCCUCCUUCUGGCAUUGCAGGGAGGUGAGGCAAGGUGAGGGCCGCCCUGAGGGGCGCUGGGGAUGCACAGGAUGCUCAACUCCCUGGGGUCCGGAGCCCCUUCCCAGUCAUGCUCCACAGCCUCUCCUUCCAUCUUCCACCCCGAAUCAUCCAGUGAGGCUUGCACCCCUCUUCUUCCCAGCACAGCCUCCAGCUCCCCUCCUGGACUCACGGACUCCCAGCUGGCUCACCCUUUCCACAUAACCCAGUCCUGCUGGUUCUCAAGGAAAGGGAGAGAAAAGUGAAGAAAGCAGAAACGUGUAGUUGGGCACAUAGGACUGAUCAAGGUGAAGCCAUCAAUACUGAAUAUUAUUCAGAGAAAAACGUGUUAAAUAUACAUGAGUGCAUGCGCACGUGUGCACGCACAUACACACACACACACACACACACACACACACACACACUCCCCAUCUGGUUUCCUAAAAGUUUCCACUCAAGUGUAAAUUCCUCAGGUUAAGAAAUAGCUGCCUAGAGUUGUGUCUGAAAUCUUCUACUUAGGAGCAGAGAAUUCAGUGGCGGAGUGGGCAGGACCCACAGUGUCUUGUAAACAGAGAGGGCACAGCAGUGCCUGUAGGAGACCUGGCUUCCCCCUCUUGAAUCACUGUGACUCUGGGUGAACCAUGGCAUACAUGGCAACAUACAGUAGAUGUGCAAAGAUGUUUGCACACGCAGGUGUCUAUUGGAUAAUCGUGCUACUCUCUAAAAAUUUUGAAGCAAUUUAGAAUAAUAAUGAAACAAAACCAGGCCUAGCGUAGCACAUCUGUAAUUUGAGCCACCUGGGAGGCUGAGCCAGGAGGAUGGCAAAUGGAGUCCAGUCUGGGAAACUGAGCAAGAUCCUAUCUCAAAAUAAAAAAGGAUAGGGAUGUAUAGAUGUAGCUUGGUGUAAAGGUCCUGGGUUGACUCUCUGGUACUAAAAAGAAACCAAAACUAAAAGAUGAAGUAAUGAUAUGAAAGGAACAGAAUUCAUGAAGAGUAUACUAAAGUUAAAAGAUCAAACAGUGCUUAAACAAUCUCUAAUGUGACUGGAGAGGUCAUGUAUUCAUCCGGAGAGGUUCUGGGAUGACGCCCACCUCUGUAAUGGUGAGAAACACUGCCUGGUGGCAGGACCUGUGGCUGCAGCAGCCUCCCUCAGGGACAAAGAAGGGCCCACGUGACAGCUUCUGGGGACAGCAGUGCUCUGGCCACACAAGACAGGUGCGGUGCUGUCCAUCUUCACCCUUACCACUGGCAAUGGACACUCGACAUUUUAUAAAAGCAGUGAUGCUCUGCUCUCCCAGCCAAAUGAGAGAGAGAGAGACAGAGAGAUACAGAGAGAGACACAGAGAGAGAGAGAGAGAGAGAGAGAGAGAGAGAGAGAGAGAGACAGAGAGAGAGAGAGACAGACAGAGAGAGAGAGAGAGAGAGAGAGAGAGAGAGAGAGAGAGAGAGAGAGAGAGAGAAUCUGUUCAAAUGAGUGUUGGGAGCUGAUCGCUUGCCCAUGGAGGCUCUCCUCUGAACCCCAAAGACCUGAGAACUCCACUCUGUCUAGGUAAGUGGACAUCAGGAAGGAAGAAGGAAGGGAGGAAAAAAAAGAAGGAAAGAAGGAAAGGAGGGAAGAACAAGGGAAGGAGGGAGAGGGAGGGAGGCUCUCACUGCAGCUUCCAGGAACCAGAGUGAAAACCAUAGUGAGUGCUUUGAUGCUGAUAAGCUGAGGCUUGCCAGGAUCUGUCACAUGAAGAAAACCUUUCGAUUCCUUCCAUCCCAGCAGAUGCGCUAUGCCAUGUGAAGGGUAGAGAGACAGGACACUGCACCUAUGCAUUUCGGCACUCAGACCACACUGCCUGGGUUCAAAUUCUGGUCCAGCUACUUAUUCACUGGGUGGUGCUGGACAAUUAGUACUUCUGUGCCUCAGUUUUCUAACCGUAGAUCGAGUGUCCAUAUACUGACCUCGGGAUCUUCCUGAGAAUGAAGGGUGUGUGUAGUGUGGAGAACAGCAUUGCAUGCACAGCGCGGUCAUUAACAGUAGAUGAUGGUAGCUUGUGGGCUUCUGUGUGCAUGGUUCCUUGCAGUGCUGGGCUUUGCACAUGCAGCUCCCAGCUAGUGGCCCUCAGGAAGGGUUAUCACCUCAGGACCCUGGGACAGUUGACAGAAUUUCCUACAAGCUGCAAUCAGGGUCCUGUGAUCCUGAGGGGUGGAGCGAGGUGUGUGUGUGUGCAUGCAUGUAUGUGCACAUUUGGGUGUAUAUCUGUUUCUUGUGCUUUUAUGGCUUUGUUCAGGGAAUGCAGACUCUAUGGUGGCAUCCAAUCACAACCUCACUUUACAUGUAUAUAAUGCUGAUGGGCAAACGGCUCCCUAAUCUGUAUGGUCUCUAAGCCCAAAAGACGUUUGGGCUAAGAUUGGGCUUAGCUGGUGCUGAAGGAGGAGACUCUUAUAGUAGAUGGGUGGCUGAGCUCGGGGAAAGGACCCUGGAUCUGCAGGCUGCAGUCAUCUUGUCUGAAGCUCACAGUACUGCUCUCAUGACUGACCAGCCUCCUGGGCAUUGACCAAGUCAUGACAUCAUAGGGUCUCACGUCCAACCCAGCCAGAGGGUGGAGACAGCCCAAACCUGAGCUGGAAAACCCAUCAGUCCUCACUUGUCAGCUCCUGCAGCUCCCUGAUGUCCCUGCCAGUCUGACGGGUAGAGUGAGUGGUCCUUUUUCAACGAUAAGUAUGCCACUGACUUUGUAAGAGUGCACACUCAGCCUGAAGUCCACAAAAGAUAGUGUUUGUGUGGACGUGAGGAGGAAGGAGGAGAGGGGGCAACCAAGUCCUAAGCACCUUUUACCUUUGCUAGGUCUUCACAGUUCCUAAUCCUCUUGGUCCUGAGCAGGUAACCUAGGGCUUAUGAAUACUUGGAUUUUUACAAGUCUACACAGACCAUAGUAUGUCAUCUUGUCAGAAGGAGAAACUGAGGCAAAAGGUUCUAAAGAGCCUGGUUCUAGGAGCUGCCCUCUAGUCACCGAAAUGAGACACAGGGCACAAACUUCCCAGCUUCUUCAUUUGGGAAUCUGGAUCUACAUUUGGUUCUCACCCCCAUAUCUAUGAAAGAGGGGAAAUGGGCAAACAGCCAUUUGAAGCACUUCUCUCUAGGCACAGGUUGACAGAGGGGUAUGGCAGGGGAAAUGUUGAUGGUCUGGUGUCCCCUACUUUGCCAAUACUCCUUUAGACUGUGAUCCAGUGGAGUACUAGAAGUCUGGAGAUUCAGCAGGUUAAAGCCUACAUAGGGACAAGAUGACUCAUGUCUAUAAACCCCACACUCUUGGAGCCUGAGGCAGGAAGAUCGUAAGUUCAAGCCCAACCUGGUCAGUUGAGCAUCUUAGCAAGACUAAGAUUUAAAAAGGGUUGGGGACAUAGCUCAGGGUGAAGACCCUGGGUUCCAUCUCGUUUACCAAAACAAAGGAAGAGAAGACAAAAAAAGAAAAAUGGAGAGAGAGAAAGAGAGAGAGAGAGAGAGACAGAGAGACAGAGAGACAGAGAGACUUAACCCUUAGCCGUGUGGGAAAGAGGGCAGAAGGAGGAGGACUUGCACAGAGACGAGACUGUGAGGUUUGAGCUGGAGGAACAGGAGCGGCUGGUGCUGCCUUGCCUUCCUGCUUCUCUGAUAGCUGUCCUCUUGCUGUGAGGGCAGAGUGUGGGCCACAGGUCAUGGGACACUAGGGGAAGGAGUUGUUCACCUUCCCCCUCACCAUGGCCACUUGGAUUCCCCUCAGUCCUCAGUGACUUCAUCAUCCUUUGUCCUGGGAGUAUCGUCCUUUCUCCUGCCCUGGAAGUGUUUUUCUCUCUGUCCCUUGGGCUGUGAGAAUGGCGAGGUGCCUAGUCCAGGUGAGCAUGUGAAUAUCUGCCUCCAGUUUGGAGUCACCCUGUGUGUGGGUGUGUGAAGCGUGGGGCUCACGGCAGAUCUGAGCACAGGAGUGGAGAGCUUCCAGGAAGGAUGGACCACUCUGAGUCAGCCCUGUGUCCAGAGCCAGAGGACCUUUCAUAGAGAGCCACCGUUGGCCAGUAAUAACCAGCUCAGCUCAUCACCAGCAAGCCGAGCAGAGGCCCCCAGCAAGAGCCCAGGGGGCCCUGUAACCAUAGGCCACUGUUAGAAGUGGGAAAUCCCAGGUGGCCACACUAACGAUGACCAAUGGAGUCUCCCAAAGGUGAAUACAAGUGCUUACCUAAGGGACCAGGGUGGGAAUGGUGGGGGGCACCAAGACCAAUGCUCAUGUUGGACAUUGAGGAAACCAAGCUUCUCAGACUCCCAGGGAAACAGUGGCGGGGGCAGAAACCCUGCUUCUGUGCAUUGGUGCUCCUGAAGACCAGGACUGAGGAAACCCAGGAACAUGCACCAGGGGCUUCAGGAGUAGGAAAUGGAGCCUCACAGAUGGAAGUGUCACUUGUCCACCAGGCCAGCCUUGAUCUCUGGCCUUUCGGGGAUGAGCAGUGGGGAUGCGCAUGCCUCGGAGCUGAGUGAGGGGAAGGCGUGGGGCGGUAGGCAGCAACUGGCUUCUCCAGCGUCUCCCCAUUUGUCUUCUCCAGGUGCUGCUGGGUUGUUGUUUCAAGUCUCCACGAGACCCUCUGAGGCUGUGGGGACCCCCUGCUCCCUACAACAUGAGCUGGUGUUUCCCAAGCUGCCUGCUCCAUGAGCUUGUCUUCAGCCCUUCUGUUAUGCCAUGGACAGAGCAGCACACCCACAGCACAGGAGGGUCCUCCACUGCCUGUGGAGACCCCUGAAGGAUUUCCGUCCAGCCCAUGGGAGAUGAGCUGCUAGCAUGGCACAGAAACUCUCCACGGUUCCUGCUGGCCCAGUGUAAUCACCCAGCACUCUGCUAAUGCCCACCAACCUUUCCAGCCGGGGCUCACAGUAAUUUUUCUCCCAGAACUGCUCUCCUCCCCUGCCCCUCCCACGCCCGGACAUCCUUCAGAUUCAGGCCUCUACUGUCAGCCUCAGGCGAACACCUCUCCUCAAGUUCAGAAGUGCUUGAUGUUAUUCAACAGAUUCUUGUCCAAAGACCAACAAAUGAUAAAAAUCCACGCUCCUUACAACAGCCUUCAAGAGCCUCUGUUAACGAAUUCAACCCUCUCUCCGAUCCCCUGGGGUAACAGGGACUGCCACCCCAGUCUGCUGGCCUUCUUGCUAGCUCAGGGCCUAAGGAGAAAGCUCCAGUGCCCUUUCCUCCAGCCAUGGAACCGUCUUCUGACGUCUAUUCACUGAAGGCUUCUUUCCUCGUCAGCUUCUGCUGACUUCCUGAACUCUUUCUGCCCUUCCAUGGCAUCAGCUUCCAAGGUCAGGAUGAUUUUCUCCAUCCUUAGUGAGGCUCUGAGCUCCCUGGGGCUGAGGGUCACAUGAAGUUUCCCUACAACCCCUCCGCACCUAACUUAGGGCUGUACCCACUGGAGGUACCUGGAGUGUCCAUAUUUAUAGUCGGUAUUUGUGUGCAUUUAAAAAAUCAGAAACCAACAAGCCAUGUGCAAAUCCCAGCUUCUGACCCUGCCACUCCAUGGAGAUUGAUUUGGUUGGCAAAUGCUCACCAAGAGUCCCUGGGGUUGGAGCGUGAGAGCAGUGUCCAGAGUGUGACAGAAUUUGACAUCAAGCAGCACAGCCCUGGGUGUCAGGCCUCACUGUGGUGCAGCGGGCUUUAGGAGAACCUCCUUCCUUCUAGCUCAUGGCCCCCCAUGCUGGCUGACAGCUGCAGACUCUGGCACAGUGAGCCCAGGAUGAGGGUGUGGCACAGAUGGGGAGCACGGCAAGGUGCCUCCCCAGAGGCUUCUGAUGGGAGUCGCUGGACUGGUUGGACAAGGUACAGGCUUUGGUCGGUCAGCUUCAGACCUGCCAUGGGAUCUGCUCUCUCCAGUUGCCAUGAAGUACUUAGGAUUCCUGGGCCUCCAUGUUCUUAUCCAUGAAAUGGGGAUAACCAUACCUACAUUAUGAAAGGAAACUGGCGAGGAGGCCGAGUUUGAUAAUGUAUGUUGACACUGUGUGUAUCGUGUUGUGACUGGCACCCACGAGCAGUAACUGCUUUGUUGUUGUUCUAUUCUGUUUCAGCUGCAAGCAGAACACGAGGUUUCCUCAGAGCAAAGAGCUGAGGUUUGACAAGUCCCUAGCACCCGGGGACUUCUCCUAUAUGACCAGCAGGUGGCGAGCGUGUGCCAGUGGUGGUUUUCAUAGGCCCCUACAGGGCCAGGCCAAGUAAGAUCCUUAUACAUUGGCUCCCGCAGGAGUCAAAGCAUCCAGGCCUGGGGCAGGUUGGACUCGCCAGUGAGUAAGGUCCUCUAUGGCCUCCUCGGGGGCCUUGGUCCCAGGGCCUGGCCCUGGAAAGGUGCUAUGGCAGACAGGCUCCCAGCUGACACCAGGCUUCAUCUCAGGACCUGUAUGGACGUCCACAUUAACUCUACAAGCAACCGAGUUUUAGAUUAAGUUAAAAUGGAAAAUGGAACACAUUGUAAAAGUCCUACUGUGUGGCAAGGGUCAUCACACAGCAAAAGACAUCCUGAUGUGUCUACAAGGGAAGGGACCCUGCUCAUGAAUCAGAGGGCUCUCAGGACCCAGGGCUUGGAUGCAGACCAGAGUAGUGGGGAAGUGAUGAAAGCAGAGGCCCUUGCUGAGCCAUUUUCUGCCCAGAAGCCCGGGAGGGAGGACAGGAUACUGCAGAGAGCCCAGCCUCUGAAACCAGGAUGCUCACAUUACAAUUCGGCUACCUCCCAGGUCUGUGCCUCCAGACAUAUUACUUAGCCUUUUGUUGCCUCCAUUUGUAAGAUGAAGGUAAUAGGAGCACAGAGUGUGCAUACUGUUAUGCAGUGUUUAAAUAAUUUUUGAUGCAUGCACCUGGCACAUACAAAGAGUGGCUAUAAAACAGAUGUGUGUGCUGUUGUUGUCCCCCUGUCAUUUUAGUCUCUCCUUCGGUAAAAGGGACAAAAUCACCUUGUCCUCCUUGAAGAGAUCAGAUGAGCUCUGAAGAAUUCAGAGAAAGAAGCAUUUAGUGUUGACACUGUCUCUUUUUCCUCUCCAGGUCUUCUUUUUCUGGCAAAUGAAGCCAGGUGAGCUCACCUUCCUUGUGUCUGCCACCAUGGCACCAUGCUGUUCAUCCAGUGGCCGUGGAUUGAUGGGGACCAGGUUUCAAGUUUAGCGAUGCAACUCUGGUCAAGGCCCAGUCCCUGACAGGGAGAACACUGCUGGGCUGAGUGCUGGCCUGUGGAUGUGCACACCUGGCCCGCAUGGCUGGUCUCUCAGGUGCCCCUCUGUGAGACCCCAAAACCCAGCCUUGCUCCCAUUUACGUCUUGCUCCUCAGAGCCUCCAGGAUGCGCAUCCCUGGGGUGAGCAGGUGGCUGCUGGAAGGCGCAAGGAGUACAGAGGAAGUUGUGGGACCACCGUCUCAGUGUCCUGUUUCCCUGCCUGCUAUCAUGAGCUUCUGCAAGUAGCUUUGCCAGACAUCCUCAGCAUGAGACUUGAGAAUUUUCUCUGUAGGGUUUUCAGGUUGCUUUCAGCAGCUUGAAGGAGCAAGAUACAAAAGAAAAAACCUGAGCCACUGCUGAAUCUGUUUUCCUCCAUCUCCUGUACCCUAUCUCACCCUCAUCGGGACGCUUAAUUCAUGGGCCACGUCUCCAUGUACUUGUGCUAUGGACUGGCUCCCUGCGACCUUGUGUGUAUCUCCAUCUGUGAUGGAAACAACCUCUCACCAUCGUGCAACUGGGGAGAAGGCCGAGCUAGCUCCAGAGGUCAAAGUCAAGCUCCUGGCUCUGUUCUUGACUGUGUUGGUGACUUGUUAUCCAGCCACAAGUGAGCGCUUCUCAUCCCUGUGUUUUCCUUAGUUCCUCAACUUGCAAGGCUCUCACAGUAGCAGGAGACUGGGGUGUGGCAACAUGGCUGGAGCAGCCCAGUGUGACCUACCAAGGGAGGAGACUUAUCAACCAUGGCGUUGAAUGGCAGCACCCAAGCCUGACACAGAUCAAGCUGAACCCAUUAGCCAGCACCAGCCUCUGGCUUGAGAAUACGUCGAACCUGGCACCUGAUAUCAGUCUUCCUGUUUGGGACCAAGUGGAACCAUCUGAAUCAGCUACCAAGAUGCAGAAGGACAGCAGUCACUGACUUGUGGCCACUGGCCUCUUGCUCCUGCAGCAUCCAUUCUGCAUGCAGAAAUGUCUUCUCUUUUUCCUUCAAAGCACCCUUUUCUCCCUGAGCAAUUCUUUUGUAUUUCUUGUCUUUUUCCUUUCUUUUUUUUUUUAUUUCUGCCCUAAAAUAAAUGUAAUCUUCCAUAUCCA